UGGGGAAUUUUGGACAAUGGGGGAAACCCUGAUCCAGCCAUCCCGCGUGUGCGAUGAAGGCCUUCGGGUUGUAAAGCACUUUUGGCAGGAAAGAAACGUCGCGGGUUAAUACCCCGCGAAACUGACGGUACCUGCAGAAUAAGCACCGGCUAACUACGUGCCAGCAGCCGCGGUAAUACGUAGGGUGCAAGCGUUAAUCGGAAUUACUGGGCGUAAAGCGUGCGCAGGCGGUUCGGAAAGAAAGAUGUGAAAUCCCAGAGCUUAACUUUGGAACUGCAUUUUUAACUACCGGGCUAGAGUGUGUCAGAGGGAGGUGGAAUUCCGCGUGUAGCAGUGAAAUGCGUAGAUAUGCGGAGGAACACCGAUGGCGAAGGCAGCCUCCUGGGAUAACACUGACGCUCAUGCACGAAAGCGUGGGGAGCAAACAGGAUUAGAUACCCUGGUAGUCCACGCCCUAAACGAUGUCAACUAGCUGUUGGGGCCUUCGGGCCUUGGUAGCGCAGCUAACGCGUGAAGUUGACCGCCUGGGGAGUACGGUCGCAAGAUUAAACUCAAAGGAA
rnacentral:rRNA from 1 species